rnacentral:rRNA from 1 species
UACAGAGGGUGCGAGCGUUGUCCGGAAUCACUGGGCGUAAAGGGCGCGUAGGUGGCGCAACAAGUCAGUGGUGAAAGCUCGACGCUCAACGUCGAGUCGGCCACUGAGACUGUUGGGCUUGAGCACUGUAGAGGCUAAUGGAAUUCCGGGUGUAGCGGUGGAAUGCGUAGAGAUCCGGAAGAACACCGGUGGCGAAGGCGGCUUCCUGGACCGACACUGACGCUGAGGCGCGAAAGCUAGGGGAGCAAACAGG